AUUCUGGUUGAUCUGCCAGUACACUAUGCUCGUCUAUAAGACUAAGCCAUGUAUGUCUAUGUUCAAACAAAAUCUAAUGUGAGACUGCGAAAGGCUCAGUAAAUCAGUUAUAAUCUGUUUGAUUGUAAAUCCCAUUGGAUAACCGUGGGAAAUCUAGAGCUAAUACAUGUGAAAGAUUGUGUGGCAACAUGCAAUGCAUUUAUUAGACAACAACCAAUAUGCGUUGUGUUGAAUGGUAGUGAUACUGUUUGAUGCACCAUGUAGUUGAAUCUAGAUAACUUUGCUGAUCGUAUGGCCUAGUGCUGACGACGUUUCAAAUGAAUUUCUGCCCUAUCAACUAGUUGGUAAGGUAGUGGCUUACCAAGGUUACAACGGGUAACGGGGAAUCAGGGUUCGAUUCCGGAGAGGGAGCCUGAGAAACGGCUACCACAUCCAAGGGAGGCAACAGGCGCGCAAAUUACCCAAUCCAGACACUGGGAGGUGGUGACGAGAAAUACUGGAUCGUUUGUGACAAACAUGCGAUACCGGAAUGAACAUAAUUUAAGACUGUUGUCGAGAAACAAUUGGAGGGCAAGUCUGGUGCCAGCAGCCGCGGUAAUUCCAGCUCCAAUAGUGUCGUGUGACGUUGCUGCGGUUAAAACGCACGUAGUUGGAUUACGCAGUGUAAGAACGGUACUCUAUGUGUGGUGACAUUAAAGCUUCAAUGUUUUGUAUAUUUACAGGAUAACGGAUGUAUGACGCCAGUCUGCAUUACGACUUGUAUAAGUUACUGCAUUGAGGUGUUGCAAUGCAUAGAUUAUUCGCCGUCUUAUGCUACAUGUAUCGUGAAUGUAAUGUAUAGCCUUAAUUGGUCGUGUGUUGUGUUUGCGGAGUGUGCCUUGAAUAAAUCAAAGUGCUUAAAGCAGGCGUGUUGCUUGAAUGUUAAUAGCAUGGAACGAACAAUUGUGAAUGCACAAGUUUGAUGUAAUGUAUAAAUUCUGUUUGUGCAUAUGAUUGAGCUUGUGUAGCACCAACCAUUGAUACGGAUGUUGGUUUCCGUAUUGAGGUGAGUAUUAAAACGAGCGGUUGGGGGCAUUAGUAUUUGUCCGCGAGAGGUGAAAUUCUUGGACCGGACAAGGACUGACAAAUGCGAAAGCAUCUGCCUAGACCGUUUCGAUUGAUCAAGUACGAAAGUGAGAGGUUCGAAGACGAUCAGAUACCGUCCUAGUUCUCACUGUAAACUAUGCCAACCCGGGAUCAGUUUUGAGCUAAGUUAUAUACUAUGCUCGUGGUUGGUCCCCCUGGGAAACCUUAAGUUUUUAGGUUCCGGGGGGAGUAUGGUUGCAAGGCUGAAACUUAAAGGAAUUGACGGAAGGGCACCACCAGGGGUGGAGCCUGCGGCUUAAUUUGACUCAACACGGGAAAACUCACCAGGUCAGGACAUUGAAAGGAUUGACAGAUUGAUAGCUCUUUCAUGAUACGGUGUAUGGUGGUGCAUGGCCGUUCUUAGUUCGUGGAGUGAUCUGUCAGGCUUAUCCCGGUAACGGACGAGACCAUUGUCUUCAUUUAGAGUGUCAAAGUAAUAGUGUAUGCUAUGAUGGCAAUGUAUUGAGUUGGUGAGUGAAGUAGAGGUUACUCUAUUGUAAUUUAUCGAUGAUGUGCAUUCCCUUUGAUUUGCAGGACCGAACGGUUUUGUAUUAUGAAGAGACAACCGAGUAUACAAAGUCGGAGGAUGUAAAUGUCUAUAACAGGUCUGUGAUGCCCUAAGAUGUCCUGGGCUGCACGCGCGCUACAAUGACAACAUCAGCGAGUAUCUGUAUCGAAAGAUUUGGGCAAUCUUGUAAAUUGUUGUCGUGAUAGGGAUCGUGUCUUGUAAUUGUUGCACGUGAAAGAGGAAUCUCCAGUAAAUGCAACUCAUCAAGUUGUGUUGAUUAAGUCCCUGCCCUUUGUACACACCGCCCGUCGCUACUACCGAGUGAAUGGUGUCAUGAUGCGUUGUGACCGGACGUUGUCAUUCAUUCGCGUGAGUGUUGAUGCUGGGAUCAACGUAAAA
rnacentral:rRNA from 1 species